UGGCGAACGGGUGAGUAACACGUGAGUAACCUGCCCCUGACUCUGGGAUAAGCGUUGGAAACGACGUCUAAUACUGGAUAUGAUCACCGGCCGCAUGGUCUGGUGGUGGAAAGAUUUUUUGGUUGGGGAUGGACUCGCGGCCUAUCAGCUUGUUGGUGAGGUAAUGGCUCACCAAGGCGACGACGGGUAGCCGGCCUGAGAGGGUGACCGGCCACACUGGGACUGAGACACGGCCCAGACUCCUACGGGAGGCAGCAGUGGGGAAUAUUGCACAAUGGGCGAAAGCCUGAUGCAGCAACGCCGCGUGAGGGAUGACGGCCUUCGGGUUGUAAACCUCUUUUAGUAGGGAAGAAGCGAGAGUGACGGUACCUGCAGAAAAAGCACCGGCUAACUACGUGCCAGCAGCCGCGGUAAUACGUAGGGUGCAAGCGUUGUCCGGAAUUAUUGGGCGUAAAGAGCUCGUAGGCGGUUUGUCGCGUCUGCUGUGAAAUCCCGAGGCUCAACCUCGGGCUUGCAGUGGGUACGGGCAGACUAGAGUGCGGUAGGGGAGAUUGGAAUUCCUGGUGUAGCGGUGGAAUGCGCAGAUAUCAGGAGGAACACCGAUGGCGAAGGCAGAUCUCUGGGCCGUAACUGACGCUGAGGAGCGAAAGCAUGGGGAGCGAACAGGAUUAGAUACCCUGGUAGUCCAUGCCGUAAACGUUGGGCGCUAGAUGUAGGGACCUUUCCACGGUUUCUGUGUCGUAGCUAACGCAUUAAGCGCCCCGCCUGGGGAGUACGGCCGCAAGGCUAAAACUCAAAGGAAUUGACGGGGGCCCGCACAAGCGGCGGAGCAUGCGGAUUAAUUCGAUGCAACGCGAAGAACCUUACCAAGGCUUGACAUACACCGGAAACGGCCAGAGAUGGUCGCCCCCUUGUGGUCGGUGUACAGGUGGUGCAUGGUUGUCGUCAGCUCGUGUCGUGAGAUGUUGGGUUAAGUCCCGCAACGAGCGCAACCCUCGUUCUAUGUUGCCAGCGGGUUAUGCCGGGGACUCAUAGGAGACUGCCGGGGUCAACUCGGAGGAAGGUGGGGAUGACGUCAAAUCAUCAUGCCCCUUAUGUCUUGGGCUUCACGCAUGCUACAAUGGCCGGUACAAAGGGCUGCGAUACCGUAAGGUGGAGCGAAUCCCAAAAAGCCGGUCUCAGUUCGGAUUGAGGUCUGCAACUCGACCUCAUGAAGUCGGAGUCGCUAGUAAUCGCAGAUCAGCAACGCUGCGGUGAAUACGUUCCCGGGCCUUGUACACACCGCCCGUCAAGUCAUGAAAGUCGGUAAC
rnacentral:rRNA from 1 species